rnacentral:ribozyme from 11 species
UUUCUUUUUCUUGUUUUUAAUCUCCGGACUAAUCAUUUUUAAAAAAGAAAGAAAGUAAUUGUCCGGAGAUGAUUAAAAACAAGAAAAGAGAA